GGGAAUGAGUAAAUUAGUUUCCCUUAAAGAGGGUUUCGAGUUAACGGGGAUCAAGUUAAAGAGGUUCCACUGUAUUUAUU